rnacentral:rRNA from 1 species
CAGUAGCCGCGGUAACACGGAGGGAGCUAGCGUUGUUCGGAAUUACUGGGCGUAAAGCGCACGUAGGCGGUUAUUCAAGUCAGAGGUGAAAGCCCGGGGCUCAACCCCGGAACUGCCUUUGAAACUAGAUGACUGGAAUCUUGGAGAGGUCAGUGGAAUUCCGAGUGUAGAGGUGAAAUUCGUAGAUAUUCGGAAGAACACCAGUGGCGAAGGCGACUGACUGGACAAGUAUUGACGCUGAGGUGCGAAAGCGUGGGGAGCAAACAGGAUUAGAUACCCCCGUAGUCCCUGUCUCUUAUAC